GAUGAACGCUAGCGACAGGCCUAACACAUGCAAGUCGAGGGGCAGCACAAGGAGCAAUCUGAGGUGGCGACCGGCGCACGGGUGAGUAACACGUAUGCAACCUACCUGUAAGAGGGGAAUAACCCGUUGAAAAACGGACUAAUACCGCAUAACACUGUAGAACCGCAUGGUUUGACAGUUAAACAUUUAUGGCUUACAGAUGGGCAUGCGCAUGAUUAGCUAGUUGGUGAGGUAACGGCUCACCAAGGCAACGAUCAUUAGGGGUUCUGAGAGGAAGGUCCCCCACACUGGUACUGAGACACGGACCAGACUCCUACGGGAGGCAGCAGUGAGGAAUAUUGGUCAAUGGGCGAGAGCCUGAACCAGCCAAGUCGCGUGAAGGAUGAAGGUUUUAUGAAUUGUAAACUUCUUUUGCAGGGGAAUAAAGUGUCCGACGUGUCGGAUUUUGUAUGUACUCUGCGAAUAAGGAUCGGCUAACUCCGUGCCAGCAGCCGG
rnacentral:rRNA from 1 species